UUUUUUUAUUGUGAGGUUGGUUGAGAUUCUCGCCUUAUAAUUUAGCGAGGCCACGCGGUUGGAAUCGGUAUAUUAUGGUCAGGUCUCGAAGCCAGCCUUACUCGAACAAUUGUAAAGAAACUACUCGACAGAAAUAUUGCUUAUUUGCUAAUUAUUCUUAUUGUACAUUUAAAUAACUAAAUACUUUGAAUAAACAUUUUUUUUACUCUUUAUAGUCAGUCGAACAGCUGAAUUGCAGCCCUAGAUCAGAGGUGCCAUGUACGUAGAAUGACAGGGAAUUAUGUUCAAUAAUAAAUCAGGAUUGAAAUGCACGGCUCAGAGAAAAAAUAAUGUAUUGCGGACUACCAGAACUGGCUGUUCCAGUCAUGAGCAACCGAAUGAAUCACGGAGGAACAAUUUUGCUGGAAUUUGAGCUCUUAAUGAGUCAAAUUUUAUCAUUUCAGUGUCGCAGAUUAUCACGAUCGGAUGCCGGCUUACAUUUUAAUAUUGGUUAUAUGUUAAAAAUAUUAAAAUUUAUAAGAAUAGAUCAUUACGAUCGGAUGCCAGCUUACAUUUAGAUUUACUUCAAUGACAUUCAAGCAAGUAGUAGUUCCCACAUUCUUUGUUACUCAGCAGCUGCAUUUAUCGUAAAACGUUCUAAAAGAUCAAUUCUGAGAGAUCUUAUAAAAGUAAUUUAAUAAGAUUCGUACACGUACCGUGAUCGAGCCACAGAAUUUUGUGGAAUUUCCAUUUUGGAGUACGCCUGAAAACUACAUAUAUGCCACACAGUUAUUCUCAACGACUUCUUCCUAGUUGCUUUGUUAAAGGACCUUGGAAAAAAUGCGAAAAAGAUAAUUUUUGAAACUUUUUGUCGUAUUUAUCAAUACAUCAGCAUCAGGUGUACUCGAACUAAAGAAGAGCUAUCGGCGAAUAUCUAUCAGCGGCUAAAAUGGAUGAUGUAUGUAGAAGAUAAAAUGAUGGUAGUGGACGGUAAGCUGGCGAUGUAUCACGAAAAUUUAAAGCGAUUGCGUCGUCAUUUGGAGGUACUUCUGCAAAUACAUUUGGUACCGCAGAUGGAUGUUAGUGCUGUCAGCGAAGUUGCUAGAAGGCGUACAUUUUCGCAAGCAUUUUUGGUGUUGGCGAGUAAUCUCGCUUGUCAAUUAUUAACGGUACACAAUGAGGAAAUUGCCAGAUGUAGAGAAUUUCAGAGUAAAUUCGACGGGAAUUUUUUUGGACAGCCUAUUUCCGGGUUUGGAGCAUGUUCCGCCUAGUUUUGCUACUCAAGCGCCAACUAUUUUCGAUAAUGAAUAGCCUAAGCUGACAGCGGACGAUAUGGAAUCACUAAAAAUUAAAUUACCCAAUCUCACGGAUUCCAUUUCAACGCCCGAUUUAAAUAGCAUUUGAUAUCACGCAAUUUUUCCUCUCUAAGAGUCUCACGUCAGUAACUACCAGUGAAGAAAAUAAUAUUAACAAAAUAAUUGAAGAAGACGAUAGUACAACUUUAAUGUCUGUUGAUGUCUCAGCUACCAAGAAAACAAGCGAACACAUUUCUCUGAGGUUUGGCUUUGAAUCAGAAACAGAAUUUAAAAAAAUAACCCAGCAAAACGUAAGAUACUUAACAUCACCAUUCUCGAAAUUUGAAUAAAAAUUAAAAAUUCUCGAUUGAACUUAAAAAUUAAGGGUGCCGAAUAAACAAGUGGAGGUUGGUUAUUCGUAAUCCUCCAUAUCUCGAAGUACGAAGUACCAACAAUAACUACUACUGGCAUGAGCUCUUAAGUAAAUCGUGCAGAAAAAGUUUCUGCGGAAAUUUGAGCUCUUAUAUGAGUUAAUUUUAGAAUUUGAGAUGCAGGUCAUGUAACAUUAACAUUCUUAUAUAAAAUAAUCGAAAUUUUUUUUUCCGAUCCGAUGCCGGCUAACAAUUUAUUGUUAGCUACAGUUUGGGUAAAAUUUUUGAAAAUUUUAUCCCAAAUUAGACCAGAUCAUUAGUUUUAUAAAAUAUUAUUUUUAUUAUCCGUGCUAAUUUAUUUCUGAUCGGAUGCCGACUAACAAUUUAUUGUUAGCUAUAAUUUGGGUAAAAUUUUUGAAAUUUUUUCCCAAAUUAGGCCAGAUCAUUAGUUUUAAAUAGAUUUUAAAAUAAUAAUUUUAAGUCUGAAUAAGAAUAUAUCGAUCGGAUGCCGGCUUACACUUUUAAAUGAGUUGUAAUAUGGAUAAAAUUUUUUUAUUUUAUUCCAUGUUAGGCCAGAUCGUUAUUUUUAAAUGAAUUCUAUAUUAAAAAUUAGAUAAGUUUAUAUAUAAGAGUAUAUUAUAACGAUCAGAUGCCAGCUUAUAUUUUCAUAUAAGUUAUAAUUUGGAUAAAAUUAUUACUAAUUUUAUCCCAAAUUAGGCCAGAUCAUUAGUUUUAUAAAAUAUUAUUUUUAUUAUCCGUGCUAAUUUAUUUCUGAUCGGAUGCCGACUAACAAUUUAUUGUUAGCUAUAAUUUGGGUAAAAUUUUUGAAAUUUUUUCCCAAAUUAGGCCAGAUCAUUAGUUUUAAAUAGAUUUUAAAAUAAUAAUUUUAAGUCUGAAUAAGAAUAUAUCGAUCGGAUGCCGGCUUAGACUUUUAAAUGAGUUGUAAUAUAGAUAAAAUUUUUUUAUUUUAUUCCAUGUUAGGCCAGAUCGUUAUUUUUAAAUGAAUUCUAUAUUAAAAAUUAGAUAAGUUUAUAUAUAAGAGUAUAUUAUAACGAUCAGAUGCCAGCUUAUAUUUUCAUAUAAGUUAUAAUUUGGAUAAAAUUAUUACUAAUUUUAUCCCAAAUUAGGCCAGAUCAUUAGUUUUAUAAAAUAUUAUUUUUAUUAUCCGUGCUAAUUUAUUUCUGAUCGGAUGCCGGCUAACAAUUUAUUUUUAGCUAUAAUUUGGGUAAAAUUUUUGAAAUUUUUUCCCAAAUUAGGCCAGAUCAUUAGUUUUAAAUAGAUUUUAAAAUGAUAAUUUUAAGACUGAAUAAGAAUAUAUCGAUCGGAUGCCGGCUUACACUUUUAAGUGAGCUGUAAUAUGGAUAAAUUUUUUUUAUUUUAUUCCUUGUUAGGCCAGAUCGUUAUUUUUAAAUGAAUUCUAUAUUAAAAAUUAGAUAAGUUUAUAUAUUAGAGUAAAUUAUAACGAUCGCAUGCCAGCUUAUAUUUUCAUGUAAGUUAUAAUUUGGAUAAAAUUAUUACUAAUUUUAUGUCAAAUUAGGCCAGAUCAUUAGUAUUAAUUAAAUAAAUUUUAUUUGAAACAAAAUUUAUGUUAGAAUAUAUUGUAUUGAUCAGAUGCCGGUUUACAUUUUUAUGUAAAAUAUAAUUUGUGAAUAAUUUAUUAAAUUAUCUCAAAUUAGGUCAGGUCAUUAAAUUUAAAUUAAUUUUAUAUUAUAAAUAUUGUGUUUUUUAUUUGUCAGAGCAGAUAUGAAGAGUAGCACGAUUAUUAUUCUAUAUUUUAAAUGUUCAUUUUUUAAUUAAUUUUUUUUUAUAAGUAACGGAGUCUGCCUUAUCUUUGUAGAUAAUGCAGUUAUCUUUAUAUGAAGAUCGCGCUACUCAUCAUUUCUCCUUAAAUAUUUAUUUUUCUCGCCGUCAGAUGUCAUCAAUAGUGGUGGCAUCUAAAAAGAACAUGGCGGCGUCCAUACCAAAAUUCUACUACCGUUACCCCUUAAACCAGAAG